rnacentral:tRNA from 1 species
GGAGCGGUGUCCGAGUGGUUGAAGGAGCACGAUUGGAAAUCGUGUAGGCGGGGUUGACCCGUCUCGGGGGUUCGAAUCCCCCCCGCUCCGCCU